rnacentral:lncRNA from 1 species
AGAGCUGAGGAAAGCUCUCUGGGGAAGUGUCCUGAGUCACGAACAAAUGAAUUAUGAAAACGUUUCUUUCAGGCAAUGAUAUGGAGGCCCAUGAUGAUCAGAGAGAGGGAUGCAGGGACAAGUACUGCCAAGCAGGAAAGUCUUGGACAUGACAAUGAGCCACAAGCAGGAACUGGGCACGUGUGAUGCUGAGAGUGGAAGGGGAGACCAGGACAAGGUUAUUAGUGAUGGCUGUCCUGAAAUUGUUCCCUCACAGAAGAGUCUGUGCCUGGUGUGUGCUAACUUCAUGACUCCUCAGCUCCUUCACCACCACCAUCAGUGCCUGCAUGCUACCAUGUUUUUCCCUGAUGACAAUGGAUUGAACUUCUGAACUAUAAGUUAGUCUCAAUUAAAG